CUGGAGCCCAGACAGGGUCGAGAAGAGUUCUCGACUCAGGUGGAGGAACAUGGAAAGGUCAAGCAGUCACGGGCUUGACAGCAAGGAGCACUCAACAAUCAUGAUGUGCUAAUCUGAGUUCUACGGAAUCAGUAAGCGUCACCAACCACCUACCACUAGCUACAAACCAUAUGUGUCAGGGACCUACCCCAGUGUGAUACAAGACAAGGUCUGUGAGAAAGGAAAGCGUGUCAAAAGCUCACCGAGCUGAGGCGAGAUACUCAAAUCGAGUUCCGUCAAGAUCGCGAGGAAGGAACUCAGCAUUGAGUUGAAAUCGAUCCCUGAAAUGAAGAAACAAGGGUUAGAUCGGAGCAGAUAAAAGACAUGCAUAGUAGGACGAAGGUGUAUAAGUACCUACCUCGUUUCACAAGCGGGGUGGAGCGUGAAGACAGAGUUGUUUGAGUCAGAGCGUGACUCAUGUCGGAGCAGGCGUAGAAUCGCCGGAGAAGACAUACU
rnacentral:lncRNA from 1 species